UUUCGGUGUAGGAUGAGACUAUAUAGUAUCAGCUAGUUGGUAAGGUAAUGGCUUACCAAGGCUAUGACGCUUAACUGGUCUGAGAGGAUGAUCAGUCACACUGGAACUGAGACACGGUCCAGACUCCUACGGGAGGCAGCAGUAGGGAAUAUUGCGCAAUGGGGGAAACCCUGACGCAGCAACGCCGCGUGGAGGAUGACACUUUUCGGAGCGUAAACUCCUUUUCUUAGGGAAGAAUUCUGACGGUACCUAAGGAAUAAGCACCGGCUAACUCCGUGCCAGCAGCCGCGGUAAUACGGAGGGUGCAAGCGUUACUCGGAAUCACUGGGCGUAAAGGGCGCGUAGGCGGAUUAUCAAGUCUCUUGUGAAAUCUAAUGGCUUAACCAUUAAACUGCUUGGGAAACUGAUAGUCUAGAGUGAGGGAGAGGCAGAUGGAAUUGGUGGUGUAGGGGUAAAAUCCGUAGAUAUCACCAAGAAUACCCAUUGCGAAGGCGAUCUGCUGGAACUCAACUGACGCUAAGGCGCGAAAGCGUGGGGAGCAAACAGGAUUAGAUACCCUGGUAGUCCACGCCCUAAACGAUGUACACUAGUUGUUGGGGUGCUAGUCAUCUCAGUAAUGCAGCUAACGCAUUAAGUGUACCGCCUGGGGAGUACGGUCGCAAGAUUAAAACUCAAAGGAAUAGACGGGGACCCGCACAAGCGGUGGAGCAUGUGGUUUAAUUCGAAGAUACGCGAAGAACCUUACCUGGGCUUGAUAUCCUAAGAACCUUUUAGAGAUAAGAGGGUGCUAGCUUGCUAGAACUUAGAGACAGGUGCUGCACGGCUGUCGUCAGCUCGUGUCGUGAGAUGUUGGGUUAAGUCCCGCAACGAGCGCAACCCACGUAUUUAGUUGCUAACGGUUCGGCCGAGCACUCUAAAUAGACUGCCUUCGUAAGGAGGAGGAAGGUGUGGACGACGUCAAGUCAUCAUGGCCCUUAUGCCCAGGGCGACACACGUGCUACAAUGGCAUAUACAAUGAGACGCAAUACCGCGAGGUGGAGCAAAUCUAUAAAAUAUGUCCCAGUUCGGAUUGUUCUCUGCAACUCGAGAGCAUGAAGCCGGAAUCGCUAGUAAUCGUAGAUCAGCCAUGCUACGGUGAAUACGUUCCCGGGUCUUGUACUCACCGCCCGUCACACCAUGGGAGUUGAUUUCACUCGAAGCCGGAAUACUAAACUAGUUACCGUCCACAGUGGAAUCAGCGACUGGGGUGAAGUCGUAACAAGGUAACCGUAGGAGAACCUGCGGUUGGAUCACCUCCUUUCUA
rnacentral:rRNA from 2 species